rnacentral:Y_RNA from 1 species
GGCUGGUCUGAAGAAACUGAAUUAUGUCAACUGAUGAUUGUGCACAUCCCUUGCAGACUGGAUUCGCUGUGCUACACUUUGCUCUUCUCACUACUGCCCUUGACCAGCCUUUA